GCCAAAAAUCUCGCCGGCGCGCGCUAGGCGGACACCUCGGUUUGUACCCGACGGAAAUCGGAAGAACAGGGCUAUGUGAGACCCGUCAUUUUGGUGAAUUUAGGACGGCUACACGGGAGUUUUUAGCGGUGAAAUCUAAGCGGUUCCUGCGUCCUCUCUCGUCGUCACCUGAGUCUGCUGCUAUGGAUUUUUUUUCUCCGUUGUUGUCAUCGACCAAGAUCCCGGAUCAAUAGUUAUAGUCACUGUAAUAAGACCGAUAUUCCCGAUACUUAUCACUCUCUAUAUGCUUAUUAGCGGUGAAACCUUUGUUACAGACCUAUUAGAUUAAUGAAGGAAAACGUCAGAAGAUGCGCAAGCGCCUCGGAUGGCAGCUGAUGAAGAUACGUUAUGUCGUGUUGAUAUUUUUUCAGAAGGAAAAAAGUCUUCGUGCGCAGCUGCCGUUCCUACCAAAUGUAGCACACAGAUUUACUGAUGAUAAUCAGCUAAGGUAAAAAAGAUAGAAUACUAGCGGGAGUUGGUUCUUCAUUGAUUGGCGGCGAUUCUAAACGGUCGUUAACAGAUGUACGUAAGCAUAAACUCGGCUCUGCACGCGAGAGUCCCUUCUCUCUAUUACUCCACCAGGAGGGACCAAGUCAAAUACUUUUGACGACACGCUAGAACUUUUCAAAUUUGUCGGAUGGACAGCAAUAAAUUCAUAAAUUAACCACGGUUUUAAAAGGACUUGCAAUCCCCCAAAAUGCAUGAUUUUUCCUUAUCAUUUUAUUCUCGUUAUUUCCCGAUAUCCGUGUACUUUAUUUUAUGAAAUAAAAUAUGCUUGUCUAUUUCUUCGAAUGAA
rnacentral:sRNA from 1 species